UACGGAGGGUGCAAGCGUUAUCCGGAUUCACUGGGUUUAAAGGGUGCGUAGGAGGGCAGGUAAGUCAGUGGUGAAAUCUCCGGGCUUAACCUGGAAACUGCCAUUGAUACUACUGAUCUUGAAUUUUCGGGAGGUAAGCGGAAUAUGUCAUGUAGCGGUGAAAUGCUUAGAUAUGACAUAGAACACCAAUUGCGAAGGCAGCUUACUACAGGAAUAUUGACACUGAUGCACGAAAGCGUGGGGAUCAAACAGG
rnacentral:rRNA from 1 species